UUGGUCUCCAAGGAAUGUCAUUGCUGAGUGCACAAGAGGCAGUGGGGAGGAAGGACCAGGCACCAGAUUGGUCUCCAGGAGAUACGCCCACCUCUGCACCACUGGCCAGCUGUGUGCUGGAGCCCAGGCCUCAUGAGCAACCUCCCCAGCUCUCAUACUCUUGGAGCUGACUUUUCUGCACUCACAGACCCACAGGGAGAUAAGCCACCAUGAGGAGAAUGGGCUCUUCCGCCACAGGCUUCUGCCAUGUUGUGCUGCCCCACUUCAGGCCAGAAGGCACCAGGGCCAAGUGAGCAUGGACUGAGACCUCUGAAACCAGAAGCCAAAAUAAACUUUCUUCCUUUCAGUUGUUUAUCCCAAGUAUUUUGUCAUAGUAUCAGAAAACUAACAUGACGGGCUGCCAA